CCUACGGGUGUCAGCAGUGAGGAAUAUUGGUCAAUGGCCGUAAGGCUGAACCAGCCAAGUAGCGUGAGGGAAGACUGCUCUAUGGGUUGUAAACCUCUUUUAUGGGGGGAUAAAGGUGUCCACGUGUGGAUGUUUGCAGGUACCGCAUGAAUAAGCAUCGGCUAAUUCCGUGCCAGCAGCCGCGGUAAUACGGAGGAUGCGAGCGUUAUCCGGAUUUAUUGGGUUUAAAGGGAGCGUAGGUGGGUUGUUAAGUCAGUUGUGAAAGUUUGUGGCUCAACCGUAAAAUUGCAAUUGAUACUGACAGUCUUGAGUAUAUUUGAGGUAGGCGGAAUUCGUGGUGUAGCGGUGAAAUGCUUAGAUAUCACGCAGAACUCCGAUUGCGAAGGCAGCUUACUAAACCACCACUGACAUUGAUGCUCGAAAGCGUGGGUAUCAAACAGGAUUAGAUACCCUUGUAGUC
rnacentral:rRNA from 1 species